GCAAUCUCAGCUCACUGCAACCUCCGCCUCCCGGGUUCAAGAGGUGUUACAGUUCCAUGACUGCUCCUGUAGAGCAGGACUACUGUGUAGGGAGAGAGUAGCCGUUCAGGGCCAUUCUGCAGUCAUAUUUACACGCACUUUAAUUGCAUGCAGAUAAAGGAACAGUUUAUGCAGCAAUUUCUAGGGAAGGGAUAGUAACUUUUGGGUCAUUGGGUCAUUGCCAUGGAAAAGGGUGGUAACGCCCACAUGUUGCUAUGGCAACGGUGAAUUGACCCGGCACACUAGUGGGCGUGUCUGAUUGAAAGCGGCUUUCUCUGGGGCCGUUUUAGCUAGUCCUCAAUCUGGUCCCGUGUCCAAGUGUCCAAGCCAUGCCUCUGGAGUUGAGUGCCACCUCCUACCUCACCUUGUUGAAUAGAAAAUGAAUGAGUGACAGUAUGAAUGAAUGGACACCUGUUAAAAGAGCCAUCUAUUACAGCUAAAUGAAUGAAGGGCAUAGACAGUCCUUUGGUUGUUUUUCCAACUAGAAAUCUCUCCCUGUGUUCUGUGAUGGCCUAAGUCUGGCCCUGCUCAAGUGAGGGACUUCCUCGAUGGGCUGGUCUCAUUCUUGUGCCCUCCAGGACAGCAGGGCAGAGGGAGAGGGAAAUGGGAGGGGCUGAGGGACAACGUGGCUCUUCUGGGAGCCUCUUUACCCUGUGAAAUUUCCUCUGGCAGCUUUCCCCCUUGGCCUGCAGCCUGUGCCGGCCCCUGCCCCCAACUCAUUGGCUUUGGUUACAGGGACAGGCCCAGAGUCAAGAACAAUAAAGGGAGGAGGGGCCUGCUUCACAGGGUCAGGGGUCAGGGAGGGGGUUUGAAGGGUGAGGAGAUUGGCUCUGUGUAGCAUCCGGUUUCAAACAACUCUGUUUAGAAAUAGAAGAGAAGCCCUCCGGAAAAUGGAAGGGCUCUGGCAGGCCUCCCAGCUGGCCAAGGAACAGCAAGUUCCUGCCAAUAUGUGACGGAAGUGGGGGAUUUGUGGGGAGGGAGGAGGGAAGAGGGCACUGGAGGGAGUAGACACAACCUAGCAACAUUUUCCCUGCUAAAAACCUUGCUCUGAAGUAAACAUGGAGGGUUCUUAUUCUUCCUGGCUGUGUGCACUCGGGCCAGCCUACUUCCUGUGGGCGCAAUUAUUCCCAGGGGUGUGUGUUUUCGUUUUUAAAGACAGAGAAUUAUAAGCUAUUCAUGGUCACUGCCUGAGAAUUCUUUGGAAUAAUGAGAUAGAAAAAUCAUCUCUACUGUUCACAUUUCUGAGGAAGAACAAGCCUUCUAGACUCUCUCCUAGGAUGGGGCUGGGAAACUCACUUUUUCUCCUGCUAAGCUCCUUCUCAGUCCAUUAGAGCCAGAGGGCCAAUAGGGGCCUCUUCGUGCUUUGUAGGCUAGAGGGUGUAAAGAACCUAGAUGUGCAGGAAAUCUGCUCUGGCUGAUCAGGCAGGUGAACUCGGGGAGGGAGAGCUCUAAGGGAGGACCAAAUGAGACAGUGGAGAUGGCGGCUCGGCUUCAGCUCACCCCUGCUGGAGCAUUCUUAGUGAUCACAAAACCCACACUACUGCCUCGCUGAUACCAUAAUGUGCAACCAUGCCUUUUACUUUACAAAUUUCAGGCACUGGCCUUUGGAGAUAACAAGGUUGUGAAGUGUCCCACUUCGGGAAGGAAUGCUAACAAUUGAGUUACCGCCUUGUUGCCACUGACCAGAGCAUCAGGUGGUCCAUUACUCAAGAUAACCGUGGCAACCAGAUAUGCUGACCCUCAUCCCCUACCCUCAGGUGCUUUGCCCAGCCCACCCUGUAUACCUCAUGCCCCAUGUUAAUUCCUGCGCUUUGCCUAAUAAAAAAGCAGGGCUCUUUUGGGGGAGUAAGUCAGGGAAUUCUCUCUCUGUCUCUGUCUCUGUCUCUCUCUCUCUCUCUCUCGCUGCCUCUUUUAUGUCCAGGCAUAAGCUCCAGUGAAGCCUUGUUUGGAAAAACUCUUUGGGCCUUGUGUGAAUUUCUAUUGCAUUGAGAGCCCAAGAAUCAUGGUUGGUAAUGUGAGGGGCCUUAUUGAGGGGGGGCAAGUCAUUCCACAUUUUCCAAAUGAGACCGAAGUGGAUACACAGACUAACAAUAACUGCAGUGACUCAUUCUCCUUUCCAGAACCUCAACUCACAGCUGUCCCCAGUGGCUUUGUGGCAUUUCACAACAGUUUUGACUUUAGAACCUCUCUCACCUUGGCCCCCACUCCAGAGCCAAAGGAACCCCCACAUCUCAGGAAGUAGGUUAUGAAUCUGGGAUACCCUGGAAGCCCAGAUGCAAAACCCAUAUUAGGGAGGAGGAAAUGGGGAAAAUGAAUGUUUUUUAAAGCCACCUUCUACACAAGCCUCCCCAAGAAGGGUGGAUCAUCUUUGCUGCUAUAGGAACUCUUAUUCAUUGCUGGUGGAGGGUCCAAAGAGAUAAUGUUAAAGUAUUGAUUUGAGCUGAAGGAGUGAAUUAUGCUAAUAAUUAGAUUAUUAAUCCUUUUACAAAUCUAACACUAUCCAAUUAUUUUAACAAAGAUGAAGGAGAAACUAAUGAGUGUUCCAUAAUAUCAGUAUUGGACAACGUAGCUUUAGAGCUUUAUGGUCACAGAAAAGGAAAAAAAAUUGAAUUUGUAUACAUUUUAAGAGAAAUGAUAAGGCGAUUAAUAAAUGACUUUGAUCAUAAAUGUAUAUUAUAUCAGGAUAAAGUUCUUUAGGGAAAGAGGAGUGGAAAUACAAACUCAAGGAGAAAAAAGGAAUAAUGUAAAAUUUCUGACUGUUAAAGAAGAGCUUGUUCGUGAUUUUUUUUAAAAAAAUGGAACAUAUUAAAUUGCUAAAACAUUCCAAUUCUAUUUUGAUACAUUUAAAUAGUGGCUUAUAGUUAUUCCAAAAUGUUUAACUGUUAAAAUGUUAAAAGAUUUCAAAUUUACAGUAAAAUGUAACAUUUUUCAGCUAUUUAAACUCAAAAUGAGAUUUAAAAUACCAACACAAAAAUUUUAAGGCAUCCCUUCAGAGUAGAGGAGGAAAAAAAAACUGUCAAAGGGGAUAUAUAAUGUUCCAACAUUAUUUUAGGGGACAUGCAAUGCAAGCAAAAUACUUGAAGACUCCUGAGCUGGACAGCAUUUGUGUUCUUUUCAACUCUUUGGAUUUUGUGGAUGGGGUCUAAGAGGUUACUCUGGUGAGUGGGCACUGCAAAGAGCAGGACACCUAUCUCCAAAUGUAAAGGUUCACUUACAACCAAGUCUCCAAACAAAACAAAGUAGAAACAAGCCAACAAAUAAAACCCACCAUCUCCUUCUCUUAUACACACACACACACACACACACACAGAGCAGACCCCCCAAGCCCCCCAGUAGUUGUUCCAGUAUAGGCCGUUCAUCAACCUGUGAAAACAUGAGCUUCGUUAGCAACAGGGCAUGGUCUGAUCCCUGGGAAAUCUCUGGAGCUGGGAGUGGCCUCAAAGAGGAUCAUUAAAGAUCAAAAACCCCACUUGAAGUUGUUUGUUCUGCUGCAGUGUAAAUCCUCUUGGCUGAGCAGCCCUUGACAGAGUCUGCUGCCUAAACAGAAGUCUUAGACGGGUGUUUGGUUUGUUUUCUGUGGAAAUCAAGGCAAAGGUCUGAGUUCCACAUCUGAGUGCAGACCCAGGACAGUGUACACGGGAUGGCAAAGUGACUCAAACUGAAAGAACUCAGUGGAAGCAGAAACUAGGAGCCAGAGGUGAGAACAUAAGCCUCCCCACCCCCAAAUGGAGAAUAUGGAGACAUCCUGGGGACAGUGGCCUUUCCAGGCACGUAGAGGGUUCAUGAGCUUGCAUUUUGUCAUGCAUGAGGAGCCCAGCUUGCUUAUAUUCAGCUCUGCGUGGAUUCCUCGUGCUGUUGUCCUACUCCAGGUGUCAGGAAUAGCUCAGCCCUUCCCAGAGGCAGCAAGAGAGCAAGAAGGACAGAGGAGACUGAGCUGGCAGGUCUCUAAAUGACCUCAAGUCACCACAGCCACUGGUGCUGAAGGAAAUGGGAAAAUAGUCUCGUGACCCAGCGAGUGCUUCCCAUGCAGGUGAGCGCUGACAGUGGGAGACAGGGGUGUAUCAUCCUGGCAAGAGAGCAGAGGGGAGAGGAGAGGACUCCUCAUGCUGUGGGAGCUGGAAUCCUGGCUUGGCUGCCCUGAGUCAGCCUUCAAUAGCCAGAGCCAGACCUCCCCUUCCUAGCAGGGCCCUGCCCAGAUCAGGUGGCCGGGAGGGGCUGUUGCUCAGCCCUAAUCCUGGGAUCAACCCCAGGAAGUGGUAGCAGGACCCAGGUGGCCUUGGACCAUUUCAAAGACUGGCAUCAGAUGUUUAUCAGCUAGUAUUUGUACAAGGCCCAGGCUGAGGAUGCAUAAGAGACUGUGAAAAAUGUCAGGAAAGCGAAAACAGCUUUCUGUAAAUAGGGCUCAGACCCUGGGCAAGGUGCUAUGUCUCCCCUUGGGGCUUUGGUGAAGGAAAACGCAAACAUUAAUCCAGAGUGAGAGAAAGAAACAGACACCACCUUGUAGGAAGAUGGAGGACUGACUCCAGGAAACUCCAAGAGACGGGAUGCAAAGAGAGGCAGGGUCUGUGUUUUACUUUUUCUUUGAAUGUUCUGCAGUCUGUCAUCUCUGGAGGCCUCAGAACCUGGUGUCACAUUACAGGGUGAAUGCCAGGGACAAGCUAAAGAGAGGAGAAGGUAUGACAUAGCUCCACCUACAUGCAAGGGGAGCCAGGAAGUGCAAUCCCUGGCUGGGCUGCCACGUCUCAGAAACCAUUAAGCCUAUGGAAGGUCUCUGGAUUUGAUGGCAAAUGGCAGCAGAAAUGUGGAAAAGAUCAAAGUGAUGUCAAGGUUGAUCUCUGAGUUUGGCAUGGCUGAACUCAAACAUCAUUUGCCAUGGACCCACAGUGUCUUCAGUAGCUGAGUGUGGUGUCAUUCCCCUAUGAUAUGUGCACUCAAUUGCUGGCCAGUUUUUGUUUUUUGUUUUUGAGAGAGUCUCGCUUUGUCUCCUAGGCUGGAGUGCAGUGGCACGAUCUCGGCUCACUGCAACCUCCGCCUCCCGGGUUCAAGUGAUUUUCCUGCCUCAGCCUCCCGAGUAGCUGAGAUUACAGGCAUGUGCCAGCAGGCCCGGCUAAUUUUUUUUGUAAUUUUAGUAGAGACGGGGUUUUGCCAUGUUGGCCAGGCUGGUCUCGAGCUCCUGGCCUCAAGUGAUCCACCUGCCUCCACCUCCCAAAGUGCUGGGAUUACAGGUGUGAGCCACUGUACCUGGCCCCAAAGUUUUAGAAAUUGGAUCAUUUUAAAUGUUGGAGGGGAGUUCAUUGUUUAGGAUGGCUGUGUGGCAAAUCUUUUUUUAAAGUAAGUAAUUCUCCUCUAUUAUAAGUCACCUCCUGAUCUCUACAUUUAAGGUUUGCUGUCCUGGAUGUGUUCACCUAUGAAUGUAAGUGUGCUGAGAUACACAGUGCAAGGCUGAAGUCAGAGUACACCACUGAUGAACCCCUGGGAACUGGUAACCCAGCCAGGGAAUGAACAUCUUUUAUGAAUCAGUUUAUCCACCAAACACUUGCAGAGAGCCUAUCCCAUGCCACCCCUGAGGGCACGGUGAUGGAGAAGAUAUGCUUCCUGCCUCCAAGAACCCCAUAGUCUAGUGGCAGAGACAAGCAGGUACAUAGCUGCCUAUAGUACAGCAUCACAGGUGCCAUAACAUUGUGUAAACUGGGAAUAAUUCUAUUCUCUGGAUAUAGAACAUCUAACCAAGAUAUUGAGUAUCUGGCUUCCCCUUCCCCACACUGGCCCUCACUGGGAUCCAUGUCUAAUAUUAUGAAAGUCACACAAUAUCAUUAUAAACUAAUCAUAAAUGGCACUGUCAGUUUGCUACAAAAACUUAUUCAGAAAAUAUUCAGAUUCUCCCAUCAACAUAUGCCGCUAUGUUGGCAAAAGCUCUGAUUUAAAAUACUUAUUUCGUUUUCCUCUCCGAUUUUGUUCUAGUCUUCAAAAUGAUUUCAUACAACAUAGCACUGAGUUCCUUAGUUCCUCUGACCCCUGCCAGAUCUGAAGCUGUGAUGUUCAAAAGUCAGGGCAGAGUCCAUCUUAUGAUUGAGUUUCAUAAGAGUCUAAGCCACUGAUCAACAUACUGUGGCAGAGUAAGCUUUCUGGGUUCCAGAAUUUAUUGUGAGUGGGCUGAGGGAGUUGAGAAAUGGCAUGGGAGGCCUAAAGAGAAAAUAACUUUUGAAUGAAAAUUAUAGGAAAGUGGAUUUGAGAUCAAAACAAAGGAAGGUUGAUCAUAGUUGGAAUCAUUUAAGAUUGGUGGGGGUAGUGGGCUUCUGGUUCUUAACCCAGGCCAGGCAGAGGUGUGACAACAGUCAGGGGUUUCUAAACAGGGUGGGAGGUUAGAUGAGAAUAGCCUUCAACCCUUUGUGUUGAACUAAAAUCCUAGCUCUGCUUUCAACUCCUAGACUCUGCUUCAUCAUUGCUAAGUUGGAAAGAGCAAGCAAUUGAGAGUCCCUGCUGGCCACAGCUGGGGUGCCCCAGACCACAGCACUGAGCCUCAAAGGCAAGUGAGCAUAGUGUUGGGAGCUGGGCUUCUGGAUCCAUCAACUCCAUCUGAUGACUCGGAAGUUCCUUCAGUUCCCAACACUGGAGUCCAGCAAGGCUGGUUUGUCUUGUUUUAAUUAUUAUUUAGAUGACUGUUUGGCUCAUACCUGAGCAAGGUUCAAAUCAAGUCAGACCUGUUAAUUUAAUCAAAGUUAUAUAAUCACAUUUGGGCACUUAAAUGUAAACCAAUUAUGUUGGAAGCCAAGUAUCUUGUACUCAGGAGGGAGUUCUAAUAAGUGCUGGGAAUGUAUGCUAAUGCACAAAGCCUAACCCCCAGAGUGGAGGGUGGAGCACUCCAGGGCACUCCUGUUUCGGUGACGUUGUUUUAAUAGCUAGUGCUCUGGGUGCAGUCUGGGAAGAUAUUGGAAACAUCUCAAGCAAGUAUGACAUCCAUUUUACCCAAGCCCAUGGAACCCAUUAUGUUUGGAACAUGUCUGUCUGUGGCAUUUGGCUUGGCUUAUAAAUGCACUAUCAGAAUCUAUAGGAGGCCUUCGCAACAAGACGUGUCUUGGCCUUUCUGGUUAUCAGCAAUCCCUCCACCUCUCUCUUAACAAACAUAUGCCAUAAGUCCUGAUCAGGCAUUUAGUUUUUUCACUUGGACCUUUUCCUAGUUCCUAGUCUCAACCCCAAUGCCUCCUAAUCUUGUACUUCUUCAAAUACUGGCCCCCCUCUACUAUGAGAGAGAGAGGAAAGUAGGGAGGAGAAGGAGGAAAAGUUAUUGAGUUGAUAUGAGGGUAGUCAACCUAAAGCAACAAUCAGGAGUAAGGUACUGGACUUGAGUUUGAAGUGUUUGUCACUAAACUCUCUCAAACUCUUCCAGGCUAACUAGCCUCAGAGGGCUUCUAGCCCAUAGUCUCCUUGUAUUUUCUGCCCUCCUCACUUGGAGUGGGAGGGAACCAGAUGUCCAGUCUUUGUCCCGUGUUAAGAACUGGCCUGGCAGGCUUUGUUGAGACCAUCCAGACUUGAAAGCCUCACAACCAGAUGCCAUCACAGGCACUUUCUGCUCUUAACCUUUGUCUGUGUCUCCUACAUGAACUCAUCAGACUGCCUCUGAAGAGGGACAUUCUAGGGACAGUUUCAUCUUCAUCACCAUCCUGGAUAGGGAACCCUUCCAGACUCAGAGUUGCAAAAGUCAGGGAGGGGCUGCUCACUGGAGGUGGAGUCCUUUGGCCAGGUUUCACUGUAAACACAUGGCUAAAAUGUGUCGCACAUGGACAGGCAUGCUAGUGUGCUCUGGAUACAUGCUAGUGUGCCCCAGAUAUAUGCUAGUGUGCCCCGUAUAGCUUCUGGCUAAAGGACACACCUCAGCAAGGCCAAAUGAGGCAUCAGGAUGAACUCUUCAAAUAGACUUCAUUAGACCCACAGAAGACUAACCUUUGCCUGACUUUGGAUUACCCCUUUCUUGCCAGGAAUUAUGUUCAAUGACUAUAUCUGGAACUAGAGGUCUUGAUAGCCACACUUUGCUUGGUGUGGCUUCUCAGUCUUUUAAGGACAUGGCUAUCAAGGGCUCAUGUUUAUUCCAGGUCAGCCCUUUACCCCUUUCCUCCAGGGGCAUCUAUGGCAACAAAAGACCAUGACAUCUGGCAGGGCUGGCAGGACUAUUUAGUUUAGGCAGGAAUGUGGGUGUUAGCAUGUCAGAGUACAUCUGAGAAAACAUUCCAAACCAACCUUUCCACACUGGGAACUCAACCCCCAGGAAUCACCAAAGAUAAGGGCAACAGUCUUAUCUCUCGAGGGAAGUUCAGGGUAAAGUCCACUCCUGCUGUGGACCAGAGCUCAGGGAAGAAGAAAGCUCAGGCUGGCUCUGCCUGUCCACUUGAUGAACUUCCACAAAUGCCACUCUGGGAGCUGAGGCAUAUGAAGUGGGGAAGAAAAUACCAGCCCUGCCCUGGAGCUCUGGGAUGGUGGCUGUACACCCCUAAAGAUGCCAGCAGAUCUGAACUGUGGCCUAUGUGUGUUUGGGAAUUGAGAAAUAAGGAGAUAGAGGGACAGCAGGCAGGAAAAACUACAAUUAGUCUCAGCUCACACAGAUUUGGGAGUAUGCAGAUCUGAAUUGUGGCCUCCAUGUGUUUGGCUGAAGGAUAAUGAUCUCAGGCCCAGACUUUUUUUUUUUUUUGUAUCACUCGCUCAGGGGGCUCUGACCAGGAGCUUCUUUCAGAUGACACAGAUCCCGAGGAGCCACUUGCCUUCUACCCAUGACACUUCUAAGAGUGACUCUUGCCAUGUGACCAUAGAGAUAAGUGAAGUUUUCUCCAAUGACAUCAUUAAGAAGUCUAAACUUCCCCAAAGGGAGAGGCUGUGACUAGGAACACAAAUGUCUCAGUGUAUCACACUCAUGCUCCCAGAUCUGUGGGCAGAAAAAGAAAUCAUAGAAUGGUGCAUAUCCUAAAAAUAAAAAGGAAAUUGCUUUUCAAGUUAUGAAAUUUGGCCCUUCUCAUUGUGAGUUUAAAGUACAUGUUACUGCUUCAGUUUCUAAAACAGGAGGUGGCCAAAUUCAGAGUUUAAAAUGUCUAAGUGGUUAUUUGAAAACAGAUAUUUAGAGGCAACUGAGAGAAGAAUACUGGGGCCAUGGGUCUGCAGUCACUUUCCCAGCAGUGCUCUGAGGCCUUGGGUCUCAUAAAAGGUAAUCAUAGUUACGCCUUUUAAAGAAAGCUGAGUCUAACUGUAGCUUUUCCUGCCUGUUGUCCCUCUAUCUCCUUACUUCCCAAUUCUAUCUAUCUUUCAAAACCCAGCUCAAAUCCCACCUCCUUCCAUAAGUCUUCCAUUGUUUAAUAUAGUUGGAAUUUACCUCUCCCUCCUCUAACUCCCAUGGCAUUUUAUUUACACCUCUCUGAUGGCCACUUUCUACUUUCUAUAAGGUAAGUUAUAUACUUGUUUUAUAUCAAUAAAUUUCAAAAUAUUGAAAUCUUA
rnacentral:lncRNA from 1 species